UGGGAUAUCGCCAAGUGGUAAGGCAACGGGUUUUGAUCCCGUCAUUCGUUGGUUCGAAUCCAGCUAUCCCAGCCA
rnacentral:tRNA from 12 species